CAAGGAGGAAAGAAGUGCUCUGGGCAAACUUGUACAGAAGAAGUCAUGCCUAUCGAUUGGUAAUAUUCUGCGUUCUGUAAAAUUAAGACGUUUGGCACUUCUCACUGAAUUGAAUGACAGCCUUUUAUUCAGCUGCCAGGGCAUUUACCCAAUGCAGAGGGAUGAGAGGAAAAAUCUACUUUGAAGAGCUAAGCCGUCAAUGAGGUGAAAGAAAGAAACAGACCAGGGCUGUGCAAAAAACCUCAGACUGGGAGAUGGGGCAAGUCCUGGGAGGGAAAAAAGGCUUUCACUAAAGUUCCAAAAACCAGCUCUUGUGCCACCUGGACUAUAUGUUUUGCUUAAAAAGAUGAACAAUCGAGGAGAGAGGAACUAAGAGGUGGAAGUGCAAGGGUCAGGAAGUCCAAGUGAAAGAAGCCCUUGAGAUAGGAAUAAAGAAAGAAAAAGAGUUGAAAAAAGAAACAGAGAAAUAGUAACUAGAGAUUCUCUUUCUUUGUGAAGACAGUAGCCUGCAGACUCUUCCCACUGUACCAGAUAAAGUGUGUUGAAUGCAGUGCAUUCUUGUUAUCAAAGGAGCCCAAGCAAAAACCUUAAGGGACAUCAGGUGCUGUACUCUGCUGACUGCUGGCCACAGGUGGGAUUUUGAGUUGUCAUU